rnacentral:tRNA from 1 species
AUAUAUUUAGUAUAAACAGUAUUACAUUUAUUUUCCAAAUAAAAAAUUUAUUUUUAAAUAUAUA